rnacentral:snoRNA from 1 species
CCGGCGUGUUGCAAAGAGCAGACUCCUUGGUGCUGUACAUAGCCUAUUGCCUUUACGUGUUGUCCUAUGGGACCUCAGGGACAGCC